rfam:Triticum urartu cultivar G1812 contig662018, whole genome shotgun sequence.
UUAGUACUCCCUCCGUUCGAAAAUACUUGUCAUCAAAAUGGACAAAAAAUGAAUGUAUCUAAAACUAAAAUACAUCUAGAUACAUCCCCUUUUAUUUAUUUUGAUGACAAGUAUUUCUGGACGGAGGGAGUAGUUG